rnacentral:rRNA from 1 species
AGAGUCCCUGAUUUCACACUGCCAAGAAAAGCCUCUAGCGAGGCGGGAGGUGCCCGUACCGCAAACCGACACAGGUAGGCGAGAAGAGAAUUCUAAGGUGAGCGAGUGAACUCUCGUUAAGGAACUCGGCAAAAUGACCCCGUAACUUCGGGAGAAGGGGUGCUCUGGUAGGGUGAAUAGCCCGAGAGAGCCGC